UACGGAGGGUGCAAGCGUUAUCCGGAUUCACUGGGUUUAAAGGGUGCGUAGGCGGGUAGGUAAGUCAGUGGUGAAAUCUUCGAGCUUAACUCAGAAACUGCCUUUGAUACUAUCUAUCUUGAAUAUUGUGGAGGUAAGCGGAAUAUGUCAUGUAGCGGUGAAAUGCUUAGAUAUGACAUAGAACACCUAUUGCGAAGGCAGCUUACUACGCAUAUAUUGACGCUGAGGCACGAAAGCGUGGGGAUCAAACAGG
rnacentral:rRNA from 1 species